GAUCAUGGCUCAGGAUGAACGCUGGCGGCGUGCUUAACACAUGCAAGUCGAACGAAGCACUUAAGAAUGAUUCUUCGGAUGAAUUUUUUUGUGGCUUAGUGGCGGACGGGUGAGUAACGCGUGGGUAACCUGCCUCACACAGGGGGAUAACAGUUGGAAACGACCGCUAAUACCGCAUAACCCGCUAGGGCCGCAUGGCCCGGACGGAAAAGAUUUAUCGGUGUGAGAUGGACCCGCGUUGGAUUAGCUAGUUGG
rnacentral:rRNA from 1 species